rnacentral:rRNA from 1 species
AGUUGAUCAUGGCUCAGAGUGAACGCUGGCGGCAGGCCUAAUACAUGCAAGUCGAACGGCAAGCACAGCAGAGCUUGCUCUGGUGGGGUGGCGAGGUGGCGGAACGGGGUGAGGAAUACAUGGGAAUCUGCCCAGGUCGUGGGGGAUAACGUAGGGAAACUUACGCUAAUACCGCAUGCGCCCUUCGGGGGGAAAGCCGGGGGACCUUCGGGCCUGGCGCGAUUGGAUGAGCCCAUGUCGGAUUAGCUAGUUGGCGGGGUAAUGGCCCACCAAGGCGACGAUCCGUAGCUGGUCUGAGAGGAUGAUCAGCCACACUGGAACUGAGACACGGUCCAGACUCCUACGGGAGGCAGCAGUAGGGAAUAUUGGACAAUGGGCGCAAGCCUGAUCCAGCCAUGCCGCGUGAGUGAAGAAGGCCCUCGGGUUGUAAAGCUCUUUUGUCCGGAAAGAAAAGCGCCGGGUUAAUACCCUAGUGUCCUGACGGUACCGGAAGAAUAAGCACCGGCUAACUUCGUG